rnacentral:lncRNA from 1 species
AUUUUGUUCCCAGAUAUUUCCCAGAUUUUUCACGGAUUUUUCGUGGAUUUUUUCUGGAUUUUUCCAGGAUUAUUCCCGGAUUUUUCCUGGAUAUUUUUCCCGGGUUUUUCCCAGAUUUUUCCUGAACUUUCCCCGUGUUUUGUGCCCAGGUACUUCCAGAGCAUUUACGACACGGCCGAGAGCCUCGGGCUGCGCUAUCCCGAGGGCCUGAGCCCCGAGGAGCAGCUGGAGCACGUCAGCGACACCGCCAAGGUCCCGCCGGAUUCCAGGGAUUUCUGGAAUUCUGGGAAUUCCUGGGAUUUGGGGCAUCCCGGAAUUCAUGCCUGGGGUUUGGGGUUUGGGGAUCCAGGGCGUUCCUGGGAUUUGGGAUUUGGGGUUUGGGAUUUGGGAGCGAGGGCACUCCUGGGGUUUCAGAUUCGGGAUCUGGGGUUUGGGAUCCAAGGAAUUCUUGGGAUUUGGGAUCUGGGAUCUGGGAUUUGGGAGCAAGGGCAUUCCUGGGGUUUCAGAUUCGGGAUCUGGGAUUUGGGAUCCAAGGAAUUCCUGGGAUUUGGGACCUGGAACUUGGGAUCCAGAGGAUUCUUGAGAUUUGGGAUCCAAGGAAUUCCUGGGAUUUGGGAUCCAGGGCUUGGGAUCCAGGGCAUUCUUGAGAUUUGGGAUCCAAGGCACUCUUGGGGUUUGGGAUCCAGAUUUUGGGAUUUGGGAUCCGGGGGGUUCCUGGGAUCUGGGAUUUGGGAGCGAGGGCAUUCCUGGGGUUUCAGAUUCAGGAUCUGGGAUUUGGGAUCCAAGGAGUUCUUGGGAUCUGGGAUUCCUGGGAUUUGGGACCUGGGAUCCAGGGGAUUCUUGAGGUGUGGGAUCCAAGGCAUUCUUGGGGUUUGGGAUCCAGAUUUUGGGAUUUGGGAUCCGGGGGGUUCCUGGGAUUUGAGAUCUGGGAUUUUGGAUCCAAGGAAUUCCUGGGAUUUGGGGCCUGGAACUUGGGAUCCAAGGAAAUUCCUGGGAUUUGGGACCUGGAACUUGGGAUCCAGGGGAUUCCUGGGAUUUGGGAUCUGGGGUUUGGGAUCCAGGAAAUUCCUGGGAUUUGGGACCUGGAAUUUGGGAUCCAGGGGAUUGCUGGGGUUUGGGAUCUGGGAUUUUGGAUCCAAGGAAAUUCCUGGGAUUUGGGACCUGGAAUUUGGGAUCCAGGGGAUUGCUGGGGUUGGGAUUGCUGGGGUUUGGGGUCAUGGGGAUUCCUGA